GAUACUGGCUGGAUUUAUCGAUUUACUUCACGCCCGAGAGGAUUUAAGUGUUGAGAGAAGGGAAGCACUGGCCACCUACAAAGAAAAAAGAAAACGAGAAAGGAAGUUACUUGGAAUAGUAAAGGAGUAAAAAUGGUGGUGGUGGUGUUGUAGAAACAGAGCCAAUCGAAAAUACUUUCUGACAUCAUAUAUAAUCUCAUCUUCGGUUUUUCUCAUGCCCUGCAUUUUCUUCCUCAUCUCUCUUUUUCUCUCUCUCCGAAAACCCUAAUUCAAAGUCCCCCUUUCUCUUUCUCUGCUUCUUUCAGAGAUAAAAAAACAAGAUCAGCAGGUAAUUUCCCAGCCUUCCCUUCCUCAUGGGUCCAACUCUAACUCUGUUUUUUUUUUUUUUCUUAUAAUGAUAAUCUAAUGUGAUGGCGCUUUAACUGUCAUUGAUUUGUAUAAUUCUGUGAAAUCAAGCUCCUGGCUUUCCAGAUAAAUGUUGAAUUCUGAUUUGAUUCUUUGUUUUCAAUCGUAACCUUAGUAACACAUUGGCAAUUUCGUGCUUUGCAUACAACUUGGUGCAUGCAUGAUUCUGCUAAGGUUUUUCGCGUCAGAAUUCUGCUGUGCUUUCGACAUUUAUGCUUUUCAUUUUUGUUUUCCAAGGGAAACAGAAUUCGGCUCAAAUACUUGUGUGAGAUUUAGUUGAGGCAAUUCUUUUUAUGUUCCUUUUGGAAGCCAAGAUAUUCAAAACACGAGGUUGUUGAUUUCGUUCUUUAUGUCUUUGUUAUUCAUAACAACCAACGAAAGCAUCUGUGUAUGUCAUUCACUCUUGAAAACCGGUUGAAUUUUGGAUCUGGAUGAAGAAGAAUGCCCAAACUAGAGUGAGUUUCAAAAUUUUCAAAUCUGUAUUGAUUUCAUAGUGGAUUUGGUAUUGGAUUAAUUCUGAAGGUGUAAUGUCUUGAUGUUUGUUUUUAGCCUGAAUGUAAAUGGAGCUGUCGAUUUUCAUAUGCGGAAAAUUAUACGACAUUUGGUUGUAAAGCGAACUAAUAAAUAAUAGGAAUAAUGGAGGCGAAUAUAUGUGAUGUCAAUCACUUGGAUGCGGAUGUUCUUUUGCCUCCUCGAAAGCGUCUGCUUGCUGGAUUGAAAAAACAAAGCUCGGAAUCUGACGGUGCUUUGAGUCUCUCUCUAAUUGCUUCUUCUGCUUCCGCUCCAUCUUCUGCUGCUUUGAGUGACUUUGAAACCCGUCUUAACAAUCUGUUGAGUUCUCAUUCGAAUAGUCCUAACCUUACACCAGGGGAGAUAGUAGAGGCUUCAAAUUCAGCGGCAAUCGCUGCAUCUAAGGCUGCAGAGGCAGCAAGAGCUGCAGCUGAAGAGAAGGCUGCAAUAGCAUCAAAAGCAAUGGCUGCUGCCAAGCGCGCUUUAGAUUUGGUUGCCUCAUUUUCUGGAGAGGCAGCCUGUAAGGAAAGAUAUCUGAAAAAGAAUAAGCUGAAGAAGCAUCUCCCUGUUCAGCACUUGUACAAAAAAUACCAACCUAUUGAGAAUAACAAGACAGAUGAAGAGUUGGCCCGUAAGUUGCAUCAAGCUAUUAACAGCUCACCCAGAAUCUCAAAGAAUUCUUCAAGUUCUGACUGGAAGGGUCAUAAACACAAGAAACCUAAAAGCUCAGCAAGUUCUAAGAAAAAUAGGGUAUCCAAUGGGGGUGUCGAAUUGGAAAGACACCUCCCAUCUAUGUCCAAUGGUCAUGCCGUAACAGGCAAGAUUAAAUCUGAAGGCUCCAUCCAUGAAUUAUACUCACACAAAGCAGAUGAAAAGUCCUCCAAGUCUGAUAAAGCUGGUCAACUAGAGAUGGAAUAUGAGGAAGCAGAAUCAAGUCAGCCAAAGGAUAAAACUGGAGAAGACGCGAGUACAACUGGUAAAAGGAGGGGAAGAGUGAAGCUAAAAAGGUUGCCCUUAAGUAUUUGUAACUUUAGGGAUCAAUCAAACCCCAAAGAGGAGAUGAAUGUGAGAAGCUCCCCGUUGUCUGAGAAUGACAUGGGCAUACAGCCCGACUGCCAGCGGUAUGCUCUUGUUCUCACUGCAGACUUCGGCUGAUGGUGUGAUGCCAAUCAGGGCUACGCCAGUGUGGAAAUGCCAGGAGUUCAAUGUGUCAACAUGUGUCGAGCAAAAUAAAUUCCUGCAGUCGUGGUGCUCAAAUGUAAUGUGGCGACUGGUAGAUACUAUGAUAGAAGUUGAUAGCUGAGAAUAGCAAAAGCUUCAAGUUAAGACGCGACUGACGCAAUAAAUUGGAUAGUAUCUGUUAACAUGUUGCAUGUUCAUCCUCCUCAUAGAACUGAUGAUAAAUGAAUUAUACAAUGUGAGUGUGUAUCCCUAUGAUGUCAUUUUUUUUGCAAGUUGAUUCUAUUUUCAUUCUUCCUUUUUAUGUACGAAAAGCUAUACACGAAAUUAUUGCAGUGUGGUAAUUUGUUUGACAUUUGAUGGUACUUGUUGAUGCUGUUAUGGAUCCAGAGUAUUAGCAAGGGAAAUAUCGAUAAUAAAGUUGUAAAAGUUGCUCCAUAGCUGCAAGAUCCGGUGUGCAAUGUUAUUUGAGUUUUCCCGCUUCCAAGUUGAUAUGUAAACAUACUUCUUGUAGAAAUGGAACUUAUUACAGUUAUAAAAAGAAACGUUAACACAUAAA